GACGAACGCUGGCGGCGUGCUUAACACAUGCCAGUCGAACGGAAAGGCCCUGCUUUUGUGGGGUGCUCGAGUGGCGAACGGGUGAGUAACACGUGAGUAACCUGCCCUUGACUUUGGGAUAACUUCAGGAAACUGGGGCUAAUACCGGAUAGGAGCUCCUGCUGCAUGGUGGGGGUUGGAAAGUUUCGGCGGUUGGGGAUGGACUCGCGGCUUAUCAGCUUGUUGGUGGGGUAGUGGCUUACCAAGGCUUUGACGGGUAGCCGGCCUGAGAGGGUGACCGGCCACAUUGGGACUGAGAUACGGCCCAGACUCCUACGGGAGGCAGCAGUGGGGAAUAUUGCACAAUGGGCAGAAGCCUGAUGCAGCAACGCCGCGUGCGGGAUGACGGCCUUCGGGUUGUAAACCGCUUUCGCCUGUGACGAAGCGUGAGUGACGGUAAUGGGUAAAGAAGCACCGGCUAACUACGUG
rnacentral:rRNA from 1 species